rnacentral:tRNA from 1 species
GAGGGUAUAGCUUAGCAGCAGAGCACCUGCCUAGCAUGCGUGAGGUCUCGGGUUUGAUUCCCAGUACCGCCA